rnacentral:SRP_RNA from 1 species
AUACGGGUAAGUGCUGUACGGUCAGCUCCCAUCAAAUCCUCCAGGGCUUGACCGCAGCAAAGGUAGACGGUUGUAGCGAUGCGAUACAGAGAGCUUACCCACC